rnacentral:rRNA from 1 species
CUAAACACUCCUACGGGAGGCAGCAGUGGGGAAUAUUGCACAAUGGGCGCAAGCCUGAUGCAGCCAUGCCGCGUGUAUGAAGAAGGCCUUCGGGUUGUAAAGUACUUUCAGCAGUGAGGAAGGCGGAGUCGUUAAUAGCGGCCUCGUUUGACGUUAGCUGCAGAAGAAGCACCGGCUAACUCCGUGCCAGCAGCCGCGGUAAUACGGAGGGUGCGAGCGUUAAUCGGAAUUACUGGGCGUAAAGCGCAUGCAGGUGGUUUGUUAAGUCAGAUGUGAAAGCCCGGGGCUCAACCUCGGAAUUGCAUUUGAAACUGGCAGACUAGAGUACUGUAGAGGGGGUAGAAUUUCAGGUGUAGCGGUGAAAAUGCGUAGAGAUCUGAAGGAAUACCGGUGGCGAAGGCGGCCCCCUGGACAGAUACUGACACUCAGAUGCGAAAGCGUGGGGAGCAAACAGGAUUAGAUACCCUGGUAG